UCCGAUGUUCCUUCCGGAUCCGCCGUCAAUCUCAAGAAUUCCCAGGUAGCCAUCCACCCCCGCAGCUACUUUCCUCCCUCUCUUCCCUCCGCCUUCCUCUUCAAGACCUCCCUGAUCGCCGCCCUCCUCAGCUAUUUUUUUAUGAUUGAAUAUUGCUUAAAUUUUAAUUUUAAGCAAUAUCAGUGUCUUUAAUUUUACAAGUCCAGGUCGAAUCAUGCGUAUUUCCUCCAGCGAUCAACCCUCCCGGUUCCACCAAGACCUUCUUCCUCGGCGGCGCAGGGGUGAGAGGGAUGGAGAUCGAGGGGAGGUUCAUCAAAUUCACUGCAAUUGGGGUUUACCUAGAAGAUAACGUUGUACAGUCACUCGCCGUUAAGUGGAAUGGCAAGACCGCCGACGAAUUGACGGAUUCCCUCGACUUCUUCGGAGACAUCGUCACUGGUAAGGAUUCAAUUUUCAGUUUUUUUUUUUUUUUUUUUUGUUUCUUUUAAGAAAAAGUUAUUAAUCCCUAAUUGUUAAUUUUUAGAUGCCUUUGAGAAAUUCACAAACGUGACAACGAUACUGCCAUUAACUGGCAAACAAUACUCCGAGAAGGUAGCAGAAAACUGCGUCGCCUACUGG